CAACGCGAUCCUCUGGUCUUCUUCCUCGGGGUAACGGAGGCGAGAAUGUAGCGGAAAUGCUGUGGCCUCUUGAAUGGCCUUCGAUCCCGCUCAACCGCCGCGAGCAUCACGGCGGUGAACGAGCCACGGCCAUUUUCUUCCUUCCCUGGGGAGGGCUACAAAAGCCCCCAAUAGCUCAUCCGAUCCGAGAAGCCCCUCCUCCCUAUUUUCUCCUUGCCCUCGGACCAGGAUGUUGCCAGAUCUGGACACUCCGGCAGCCUGAUGUUUGCCACCGCCCUCGCUCAUGCUGGGUUCUACCUCCGGUAUCCUCCACCGGCGCCUCUCCUCGUCGGACUUCACCACCAGCGCCCCUGCUCUCAUUAGUGUGGUACAGAGAAUUUGACGGACGAGAUUAGGAUUGUGUGGGCGAAUUGAGAUAAUUAAGGCGAUUAAGAGCGGGAAAGAGUAAAUGAAAAUUGGAGUUGAAGCAUAGUUACAGGGAUUCUUAGAAGUAUCUAUGUUAAUAAGUUUGGGUUGUAAUAUUGCAAACUCAAGUAUUUGAUUUAGAUGCUCUGUACUUGCUUCUUUAUGAUUAGUAAAUAAAUUUGAUCAGAUUUGGUCUUAUUUCAUGAAAUAAAAUUGUUAUCAUGGGCUUCGUGCUAUUAUGGGCAGCAACCUACAAUAGCACGGCCGUGUCAUAAACCGGAUUUGGGGCGCAUAAUAUAAAUUAAAAAAAAAAAAUCAUGUCCGGAUCCGGGGCGUGACAUUUAGUGGUAUCAGAGCUUAGGUUUAAGAUCAUUGGGAAUUAUGGCAAUUAAACUAUUAGAAGCUAGAUUUAAGAUCACUUAGGAUUGCGAUAUGAAUGAUACAAGAGCUUAAGGUUUAAGACUACUAAGGACUGUGGCACAAGUGGCUUCAAAGUUGGAGGUUUAAGAUCAUUGAGGAUUGUAAUAAAAUUUGAAUUAGAAUAAAGGUUUAAGAGCAAUAGGGAAUGUGACAGGAUUGUAUGAAAGCUAAAAGUUUAAGAUCACUAGUGAUUGUGAUAGAAAGUAGCAAAUUUUUAAGUAAUGAUUAAAUUAGAUUUUGACUAAUAUUAAGUGGAGUACUAGCCAUGGAAUAUUAAAAUACAUUGUGAUUGUUUGUGUAUUAGUAUAUAAGUGAUUUUGAAAGAUCAACUUGAUAUCGGGUACUGUAAAUAAUACUUCUAGUUUGAAGUUAAUUAUUUUGAUGACAAGAUAGGGUUCAUUCAUAAGUUGUUUAAGGCUUGGACAAGAAAAGAUUUUAUAUUCUUCGAGGAUGAAAUAUGUAUGACAAUUAUGCAUGAAAUUGUUAUAUAGAAAGAAAAUAUAUUUGAGGAUGAGACUUAAGAGUUUUUCCUUUGUUUACUUGGAAUAUGAAAUAUUAGAUGUUUUCCAAUUACAAUGUGAAUUGGUAUUUUGAUUGACAGUCAUUUAGUAAAUUUUGAGAAUAAUUAUCAAUCUUGAAAAAUAUUUGAGGCUCAAAUGUUCUACUAUGGAUAAAGUGCAGUGGUUUAUGAUCCUGCAAUAAAUCCAUUAAAUGAAUAUUAGUUGAUGUUUUGACAAAAAAAAAAAGAAGAAAAAAAAAGGGGUUUCUGCUAUUAACAAGGAAGAAAUCAAACAAGAGAAACAAGUUCAUCAAAAUGAUAUGCAAAAGGCAGAGAAAUGAGGUAUUAAAUAGUUCUAUUUAUAGACAAGUAGUAAAAGUUAUUAGUGAAUCCAAAGAAUUUUGAUGGUUUAAAUCAGAGUGCACAGCGAAAACAUAGUGGUUUGAAAUAUUUAUCUAAGUUGGUUAGAAGUAUUAUCCCUUUGAUUCGAAAAGUUUUAAUAAUAAAGAUUUGAUCCAUUUUCUUAUGUAGUAGGACUUUCUAGAUAAAUGAAAGGAAAAUGUUUUGAUUUUUUUUGGAUGUCGCUAUGCUAUCUUAGGUUCUCCAAUUUUAUGUCGUGCUAAGAAAUUCUUAGCAUCUUUUGGCUAGAAUUAAUGGAUCACUGAUUUUGAUCUUAGAUCUGGAAUAUGUUGGUAUAGACCUCCUUUCUUCUAAAUCUGAAGCUUGAUUUUUUUUUUUCAAUAAUAUCAACCCUCUAUCUGAUUAAAAGAAAUUGAGGUUGUCAAUUGGCUUUAAUGAAUAUCUAUCAAGGGUGGAUUAGAGUCGUUUAUGAUCUAAUCUUGUGAUAGAUCGGUUAAUUGAGAGAAAUUGAUAUUUUGACAAAGAAACUUGAUGUUCUUAUUCAGAAUUAAGACGUUGAUUUUUGAUUAUAAAAGAAAAGUUUGAUUUAAAUCACCUAUCAAAAGAAUCAAAUCUGAAAGUAUCGGACCUUAUUCCUUUGAUAAGAUCUAAUGAUAAAGUUGUAUUGAUAAGUAGAAUUAUUGGAAGACUUGAGUUAAUUUUCUAGUGGGGAAGAAUGUUGUUGAUUCUUAGGAUAAUCAUGAUAUGACUUCGUUACUCUCUGAUAGAUUCUUCUAUUGGGUAUGCUAAAUAAAAUCUUGAGCAUUUCAUGACUAGGGUGAGUUGAUCAUUAAUUAGAUAUGAUCUAAAUUUUUAAGUAUCGAAAUAAACCAUGUGUUAUUUGUUCCAUCGUUAUGAGUUAUAAAUCAAGCCUUGUGACAUAUUCAAUAUGGUAUCAAUAUUUUGUCUUCUUGGAUUUGUUCUUGUGAUUUGAUGCCAAUCAUUUUGAGAUAGACCAUUGCUGUCUAAUGAUAAUCAUUACAUGUUCAUUUUGUGAAUCCCAUUACUAACUAUCUAAUGAUUUGACUCUGAUUAAGGCCGGUCGAUAUCUUUUGUGGGAUUAGUACUCUACCAUAAUAAGUGCAUGAAAUCUAUUUUAUUCCAAGAUCUAUCUCAAAUACAAUUAUUUUUAUCAAUCUUGUUGUCAAAUGAUCCCAAUCUGAUCUCAUUGCAAUCUUAGAUUUUAAUUAGUCACUUAUCUAGUGCUAAUCUUACUCGUAUGUAUAAAAUUUUUGACAGUUGAUCAAGAGUUAUAUAUCUCACUAAUUUUGAUCGAAGAGAAUAAGAUCUUAGAUAUAUGUUACUCAAUGAGCUGAACAUUGCUGAAUUUGGAAAGACUAGAUUCUAUAAAUUUCGAGGACGAAAUUUUUAUUAAGGAGGGGAGAAUGUAAUAACCGGCCCAAAAUGGACCAAUCGGGCCGAAGCCGGCGGACCCAACCGAUUUUAGCUCAUGGCUGAAGAAGAGACCAAGACAGGGAUCGCAACGCGAUCCUCUGGUCUUCUUCCUCGGGGUAACGGAGGCGAGAAUGUAGCGGAAAUGCUGUGGCCUCUUGAAUGGCCUUCGAUCCCGCUCAACCGCCGCGAGCAUCACGGCGGUGAACGAGCCACGGCCAUUUUCUUCCUUCCCUGGGGAGGGCUACAAAAGCCCCCAAUAGCUCAUCCGAUCCGAGAAGCCCCUCCUCCCUAUUUUCUCCUUGCCCUCGGACCAGGAUGUUGCCAGAUCUGGACACUCCGGCAGCCUGAUGUUUGCCACCGCCCUCGCUCAUGCUGGGUUCUACCUCCGGUAUCCUCCACCGGCGCCUCUCCUCGUCGGACUUCACCACCAGCGCCCCUGCUCUCAUUAGUGUGGUACAGAGAAUUUGACGGACGAGAUUAGGAUUGUGUGGGCGAAUUGAGAUAAUUAAGGCGAUUAAGAGCGGGAAAGAGUAAAUGAAAAUUGGAGUUGAAGCAUAGUUACAGGGAUUCUUAGAAGUAUCUAUGUUAAUAAGUUUGGGUUGUAAUAUUGCAAACUCAAGUAUUUGAUUUAGAUGCUCUGUACUUGCUUCUUUAUGAUUAGUAAAUAAAUUUGAUCAGAUUUGGUCUUAUUUCAUGAAAUAAAAUUGUUAUCAUGGGCUUCGUGCUAUUAUGGGCAGCAACCUACAAUAGCACGGCCGUGUCAUAAA